rnacentral:rRNA from 1 species
AUUGAACGCUGGCGGAAUGCUUUACACAUGCAAGUCGAACGGCAGCAUAGGUGCUUGCACCUGAUGGCGAGUGGCGAACGGGUGAGUAAUACAUCGGAACGUGCCCAGUCGUGGGGGAUAACGUAGCGAAAGUUACGCUAAUACCGCAUACGAUCUAAGGAUGAAAGCGGGGGACCGUAAGGCCUCGCGCGCUUGGACCGGCCGAUGUCAGAUUAGGUAGUUGGUGAGGUAAAGGCUCACCAAGCCGACGAUCUGUAGCUGGUCUGAGAGGACGACCAGCCACACUGGGACUGAGACACGGCCCAGACUCCUACGGGAGGCAGCAGUGGGGAAUUUUGGACAAUGGACGCAAGUCUGAUCCAGCCAUUCCGCGUGCAGGACGAAGGCCUUCGGGUUGUAAACUGCUUUUGUACGGAACGAAAAAGCUCUUACUAAUACUAGGAGUCCAUGACGGUACCGUAAGAAUAAGCACCGGCUAACUACGUGCCAGCCGCCGCGGUAA